AUGCGCGUCGUCCCCUCAGCUUUUCUCCGUCGCGCCGCCUCGAUGUCCUCUCACUACAACCGCCGAGGAUCCUCGCGACCUCACCGCGGAUACUCCUCCCGCCCCCCGCCGCCUUCCGCCUACGCCGCCGCCGAGCUCGUUAGCGGCGAUUCUCACCUCAGCACUGUGCCCUCUGCCAACGAUUCCCUCCGCCGCGGCGGGGUUCCUCGCGCGCCUCCACCGCAGUACAGGCACGGGCCGCAGUUCCAGCCGCCGCCGUAUGGAUAUGGCUACGGCCAACCUCAACCACAGCCGCAGCCGCAGGUUCAGCCUUACGGGUUUGUGCCGUACAACUACAGCCAUCCGCCGCAGACGCCGUUCCCAGGCCCUCAGUACGGCUAUGGGACUCCGAAUCAGUACGGUCACUGGCAUCCACAGCCAUACAGCGUUGUGCCACCGAAUGGAGGGUUCCUGCCACGGAAUGCUGGGUUCCGACCUGCGGCGCCGCAGCUGCAUCCAAGUCUGGCACAGUACAAACGAGAGUGGCGAUCUGUGCAGAAGCUGCCACCUCGCCAUGCUGAGAGGUUUAAGGUUCUGUCAUACAAUAUACUGGCGGACUAUCUGGCCCAGGAGCACCAAGAUCUUUAUAGAGACAUACCAUCAUUCAUCAUGGACUGGAACUGGCGUAAGAAUAGGAUAGGUUUAGAGAUCAGCUGGUGGCGUCCAGAUAUUAUAUGUUUUCAGGAGGUAGACAAAUUUACAGACCUUGAACAAGAAAUGUCAACCCGAGGAUAUAGCGGCAUAUGGAAGAUGCGGACUGGAAAUGCUGUUGAUGGAUGUGCCAUAUUUUGGAGGACAGCAAGGUUCCGGUUGUGUUAUAAAGAAGACAUCGAGUUCAAUAAGCUUGGGCUUCGGGAUAAUGUUGCACAGCUCUGUGUUUUAGAAUCAGUGUUUCGAAGAAAUGUGCAAACUGUGUCUACUCACUUAUCUACUAGCCCUAUCCAUCCACAACAAGCCAAACAAGUUGUUAUAUGUAACAUUCAUGUUCUUUAUAAUCCGAAGAGAGGGGAUAUAAAACUUGGCCAGAUAAGGACACUCCUUGACCAAGCUUAUGCUACAUCUAAGAGGUGGAAUGAUGCUCCGGUAAUACUCUGUGGGGACUUCAACGCUGCACCGAAGAGCCCGCUGUACAAUUUUAUAUCAGAGCAAAAGUUGAAUUUGUUUGGGCUUGCAAGAAAUGCUAUAUCAGGGCAGCAAACUAGUUCACAUGGGCUUUAUACUGGUUCUAACACAUCUCGUUAUACAUUCCGUCCACCUUUACACACGACCAAUGGUGGAGAGGGAAGAAUAAUUACUCGAGAUGUCCAUAAGCCUCAAAGUGAAGCAAAAAGUUUGGUCAGAGAUUCUUGCCUUGCUGGAAGAGAACCUGUUUUGACUGCUACUGCUUCAACAUCUUGCUUUAACUCUGAAUCGAGUAAAUAUUUUGGCAACAAUAGAUCUUGUUCUGGCCCUAGUAAUCUUGAAGAGCAAGGAUUAUCAAGCUGUUUGGCAGGUCUUGCAAAGGAUGCCUAUAAUUCUGAUGGUGAAGACCAUGUAAAGGCAACUGAACGUGAAGACGGUGUGGCUGUUGACAGCUCCUCUGAAGAAUGUUCUGGAGGAAUCAAAGUUGAAUCAAAAGAACCUGACGUUGGUGGUGUCCAAUGUUCACAAACUGAUGUAUGUGAUGCGGCCUUCCAGUCAGAUUCAAGUGAAGCAAUUGAUGGCAGACACCUACUUUCAUCUUAUGAACUAUCUGGGCGUAUAGAUUCUGUCCGAGAAUUAAGAGGUGUUAUCCGUAAGGAUUCAAAUUCCCAGGGAGACUUGUCUGGGAAUGUGAUUUGUGAAGAUGUCACAGGUGGUUUUGAAGGAAAUAGUUUUCAAUCAGAUACGUCGUUGAAUGUAUCAAAAGAAAACCCUGGUGAAAAGGAAAAGUGCAAUGAAUCUAUGUCUGGUCAGAACAAUUAUACAAUUCCCGAGUCAGAAUCAUCCCAUUUCAGUGAUUCUCUGAAGUCUGCUGAUGCACGGGAUAAAAUGAGUAAUAUGAGAGUAGAAGAAGAAAUUAAUACUGGAUCAACUCACUUAACAUCUCCAGUAGAACUAACGCAUCAAAUAAAUAGUGCUACUUCAGAUUCCUGUGGCAAUCAGUGUACUCCUGAAGUAACCAACAAGCAUUUAGACUCGUAUUCCUGUCCAGAAGAGUUUGGAAAUCAUGCUUGUUCUGUUGAGGAUGAUGUCACAGCUAAUGAAAAUUUGUGCUCCAAUGUGAUAUCUGACCCUACCUCCUUCAAAGAGUUCUCUGGUGAUAAUGAAUGCUUACAUGUGGAUAAUGAUCAGCUGCCAAAAAUUUCAAAUGGUUCACUACAUGCUCACAAGGUGGUUCCUUAUGGAGGGUACUAUAAUGAUCCGUACAGGUGGACAGUAGAUGAAAUCAAGGCUGCUACUGGGAAGGAAGAGUGUACUUAUGUGGAACAUAAUUUGAAAGUAAGGAGUGUCUACACAGAUGUGGAGGAUUUUAAUGGGACAAAAGAUGCCAAUAAGGAGCCCUUGGUAACCAGUUACAACAGAAAAUUUAUGGGGACAGUGGACUACGUAUGGGCUUCUGAAGAUCUUCAGACUGUUAGCGUGCUAGAUACAUUUCCGGAAGUGAUUUUGAAGGAAACAAAUGGAUUCCCCACAAAGAAAUGGGGAAGUGAUCAUAUCGCAUUGGUCUGCGAACUGGCGUUUAAGGAAUGA
rnacentral:rRNA from 1 species